AGAGGGGGUUUUCUGUAAAAAAAACAGCGUCUUCGUUCGUCUGAAGCAAAAGGAAAAGGGGAGAAAUGGGGCGGACGCCCAGGCCAGUGGUGGAUGAUGAGUAUGAGAGUGAAGAACAGAAGCAAGCUGCUGCUGAUGUUCUUUACCAAUAUUCACAAUUUGUAAUGGUAUGCAUUGGGGAGGGAGUUCGGCCUACUGAUUUGAGGUUACACUUGAUGAAGGAAAUUUCUGGAAUGCCAACAUCCUUAAAGGAAGCACAACAACAAAUAUCAACUCCUCCAGAUUCCACUAGUGAACCUUCUUCCUCAGGCACAUCAAAAGGAGAGAAAUUUGGAACAUCUUAAACAUCUUGUAAACAAAUAAUCCAUCUGCGACUAUUAUCCAUGUAUUUUUGGUACACUCUCCUGGCAAAGCAAUGUCAGUAACCAGCAAGUGCGUUGCACCCCACCGUUCUUUUUGCAGCUUUGGAUUCAAAGGCACAGCCCACUUGGCUCAGUGGCAGAGUGGAUUAUUUUGUCUUUUAUUUCUCCAUUUCAAAAGGUUG